rnacentral:rRNA from 1 species
AUUGAACGCUGGCGACAUGCCUUACACAUGCAAGUCGAACGGCAGCACGGGUGCUUGCACCUGGUGGCGAGUGGCGAACGGGUGAGAAAUACAUCGGAACAUGUCCUGUAGUGGGGGAUAGCCCGGCGCAAGCCGGAUUAAUACCGCAUACGAACUACGGAAGAAAGCGGGGGACCUUCGGGCCUCGCGCUAUCGGGUUGGCCGAUGGCUGAUUAGCUAGUUGGUGGGGGAAAGGCCUACCAAGGCGACGAUCAGUAGCUGGUCUGAGAGGACGACCAGUCACACUGGGACUGAGCCACGGCCCAGACUCCUACGGGAGGCAGCGGUGGGGAAUUUUGGACAAUGGGCGAAGGCCUGAUCCAGCAAUGCCGCGUGUGUGAAGAAGGCCUUCGGGUUGUAAAGCACUUUUGUCCGGAAAGAAAUCCUUGGCCCUAAUACGGUCGGGGGAUGACGGUACCGGAAGAAUAAGCACCGGCUAACUACGUG